UUUUGAGAUUGAAUAAGAGUGGCAAAGUCUUCAAUUGGCUGCAAUGAAUUCUCCUUUUCCAGACAGAUUCAAGACUAUAUACUCUAAAGAAACUGGACGAUAGCAAAAAUCGUUACAUAGAGAAGGCAAUGGUUGAUCCAAUCGAAGCCAAAGCUUUACAUUUUUUUGUAGAAGAAAAUAAAGAUUGCUAUUGUUUUGGACUUGCAAGCAGAUGUUCCAUCACUGAGGUGGAAAAUGAGCAGUUUUCACUUUGUAAAUUCCAUCAAAAAUUAUUUUAGUACAAAAA